rnacentral:tRNA from 2 species
ACCUACUUGACUCAGCGGUUAGAGUAUCGCUUUCAUACAGCGAGAGUCAUUGGUUCAAAUCCAAUAGUAGGUA